GACGAACGCUGGCGGCAGGCCUAACACAUGCAAGUCGAGCGAGGACUUCGGUCCUAGCGGCGGACGGGUGAGUAACGCGUGGGAAUAUGCCCAAAGGUACGGAAUAGCCUCGGGAAACUGGGAGUAAUACCGUAUGUGCCCUUCGGGGGAAAGAUUUAUCGCCUUUGGAUUAGCCCGCGUUGGAUUAGGUAGUUGGUGAGGUAAUGGCCUACCAAGCCGACGAUCCAUAGCUGGUUUGAGAGGAUGAUCAGCCACACUGGGACUGAGACACGGCCCAGACUCCUACGGGAGGCAGCAGUGGGGAAUCUUAGACAAUGGGGGAAACCCUGAUCUAGCCAUGCCGCGUGAGCGAUGAAGGCCUUAGGGUUGUAAAGCUCUUUCAGCUGGGAAGAUAAUGACGGUACCAGCAGAAGAAGCCCCGGCUAACUCCGUG
rnacentral:rRNA from 1 species